UACGUAGGGUGCAAGCGUUAAUCGGAAUUACUGGGCGUAAAGCGUGCGCAGGCGGUGAUGUAAGACAGUUGUGAAAUCCCCGGGCUCAACCUGGGAACUGCAUCUGUGACUGCAUCGCUGGAGUACGGUAGAGGGGGAUGGAAUUCCGCGUGUAGCAGUGAAAUGCGUAGAUAUGCGGAGGAACACCGAUGGCGAAGGCAAUCCCCUGGGCCUGCACUGACGCUCAUGCACGAAAGCGUGGGGGAGCAAACAGG
rnacentral:rRNA from 1 species